rnacentral:rRNA from 1 species
CACGUAGGGUGCGAGCGUUGUCCGGAAUUAUUGGGCGUAAAGAGCGUGUAGGCGGCCACACAGGUCAGCUGUGAAAACUCGAGGCUCAACCUCGAGACGUCGGUUGAAACCGUAUGGCUAGAGUCCGGAAGAGGAGAGUGGAAUUCCCGGUGUAGCGGUGAAAUGCGCAGAUAUCGGGAAGAACACCCGUGGCGAAGGCGGCUCUCUGGGACGGUACUGACGCUGAGACGCGAAAGCGUGGGGAGCGAACAGG